rnacentral:rRNA from 1 species
AUUGAACGCUAGCGGCAGGCCUAACACAUGCAAGUCGAACGAGUGGCGGACGGGUGAGUAAUGGCUGGGAACCUGCCCGAUAGAGGGGGAUAACUACUGGAAACGGUAGCUAAUACCGCAUACCAUGGGAUGUGCCCAGAUGGGAUUAGCUAGUGUGUGGGGUAAUGGCUCACCUAGGCAACGAUCCCUAGCUGGUCUGAGAGGAUGACCAGCCACACUGGAACUGAGACACGGCCCAGACUCCUACGGGAGGCAGCAGUGGGGAAUAUUGGACAAUGGGGGAAAGCCUGACCCAGCCAUGCCGCGUGUAUGAAGAAGGCCUUCGGGUUGUAAAGUACUGUUGUCAGGGAAGCGGUAUCUGCAGAAUAAGCAACGGCUAACUACGUGCCAGCAGCCGCGGUAAUUC